rnacentral:rRNA from 1 species
GAUGAACGCUGGCGGCGUGCCUAAUACAUGCAAGUCGAGCGAACGGACGAGAAGCUUGCUUCUCUGAUUUUAGCGGCGGACGUGUGAGUAACACGUGGAUAACCUACCUAUAAGACUGGGAUAACUUCGGGAAACCGGCGCUAAUCCCGGAUGAUAUUUUGCACCGCAUGGUUCAAAUGUGAAAGACGGUCUUGCUGUCACUUAUAGAUGGAUCCGCGCUGCAUUAGCUAGUUGGUAAGGUAACGGCUUACCAAGGCAACGAUGCAUAGCCGACCUGAGAGGGGGAUCGGCAACAUGGGAACGGAGAAACGGUCAAGACUCCUAGGGGAGGCAGAGGAAGGGAAUCUUCCGCAAUGGGCGAAAGCCUGACGGAGAAACGCCGCGGGAGUGAUGAAGGUCUUCGGAUCGUAAAACUCUGUUAUUAGGGAAGAACAUAUGUGUAAGUAACUGUGCACAUCUUGACGGUACCUAAUCAGAAAGCCACGGCUAACUACGUG